rnacentral:rRNA from 1 species
GAGGAGCUCGCGGCGGAUUAGCUUGUUGGCGGGGUAAUGGCCCACCAAGGCGACGAUCCGUAGCUGGUCUGAGAGGACGAUCAGCCACACUGGGACUGAGACACGGCCCAGACUCCUACGGGAGGCAGCAGUGGGGAAUCUUGCGCAAUGGGCGAAAGCCUGACGCAGCGACGCCGCGUGCGGGAAGAAGGCCUUCGGGUUGUAAACCGCUUUCAGGAGGGACGAAGCCACUCGGGUUAAUACCCCAGAGGGUGACGGUACCUCCAGAAGAAGCCCCGGCUAACUACGUGCCAGCAGCCGCGGUAAUACGUAGGGGGCAAGCGUUGUCCGGAUUUAUUGGGCGUAAAGAGCGUGUAGGCGGCCAGGUAGGUCGGCUGUGAAAACUCGAGGCUCAACCUCGAGAUGUCGGCCGAAACCAUCUGGCUAGAGUCCGGAAGAGGAGAGUGGAAUUCCCGGUGUAGCGGUGAAAUGCGCAGAUAUCGGGAAGAACACCCGUGGCGAAGGCGGCUCUCUGGGACGGUACUGACGCUGAGACGCGAAAGCGUGGGGAGCGAACAGGAUUAGAUACCCUGGUAGUCCACGCCGUAAACGAUGGGAACUAGGUGU